GUGGAAACGAAGUGGUUUCUUGGAAAUAGAAAGUACGACUCAUGUUACAGACAAGGAAGUGUGCGUGAAUGUUGAAUCACACCUUCGCCAUCAGCCAUCGUGGUCUACAUCCCCCUCUUGAGGAAGGGCCUCCCCCAGACAGUCCCACAAGCCCCAGCCCUGGCGUCACGUCACGCCUGCCCCCUACCCCUGCUCCAAGCAUGUCAAUCAUUCUUGACUAUGGGGGUUCCUCUCCAUUUUCAUCUCUCAAGCUCCACUCCCUCCUCAGUGCUGAGCCAGGCUCUCGGCUUUGCUUGAAGCCCCAUCAGCCCACCCUGGGUUCUCCCUACAGACCUCACCCAUCUCCUUUCAUCUGUCUGUAAUCCAUCCUUCUGCCAUCAGCAAGUGACCUUUCCAAAACCCAGACCCAGUUAAAGUCCACAGCCAACCAUUCCCCACCUCUCCUGCCACCCACAUGUGCUUCUUGGCUCUGCCGUGAGACAUCCUUGCAGUGCCGUAAGCAGUCACCUUCCUACCUGCCUCUGUGCCUGUUACCCAGACAAUCCCCCGGCAGAAGCAAGCUUCCCUUUCAGCUCUGCCCAAAUAACCACAUCAGUCCCUCAAGGUCCUAGUGAGACCCGGGCCCCUCAGUGGGGUCUGUGCCAGGUACCUGUGCACACCCCAGCCACAGCCCCAACACACUGGUGUCAGGCAGCCCUGGCUCAUCUCUCUUUCUCCUAAGCAAACAGCUCCUUGAGGACAGGAUCAUGACAUAUGUACAUUUAUGUCCCCACUACAGAAACUUAGUACUUGACAUAUAGCAAAGGCUCAGUAAGUAAAUACAUGGAGGAAGGUAGCCAGCCUUCAAGGUGGCCCCAACAACCCAUGCCUCCCAGGAUUUAAGCACUGCGUAAUCCUCUCCCACUUUGAAUUAGGACUGGGCCCAUGUGACUGGUAGAAUGUGAUACAAUGGGACUUCCAAAGCUGAGUCACAGAAGACUCGAGAGUUCCGCCCAGAUCAUGUGGGUGGCUUGCUUUGGAGGGAGCAGCCACCAUGCCAGGAGGAUGCUCAAGCAGCCCCAAGGAGAAGGCCAUGCAGAGAGGACGGAAGCAGCCAGUGACAACUUGCCAGACACAGGUUGCGCCCCUUUGGAAAUGGAUUCUCCAGCCCCUAUUGGGCCUUUGGAUGAUGUAGCCUCAGCUGAUAUCUGACUGGAACUGUAUGAAAGGCUUCACAUGACAACGGUCCGGUCAGGUCCUUCUGAAAUGCCUGACCCACAGAGACACUGUGAGAUGAAAGAGUCCAAGACACACUUAUCCAUCACAGCGAUCAUGCCUGUAAGAAAACUCUUCUUACUGCACUCCUACCUGGAACUGAAAGAUGAUGUGUUCGGCUUCAAUAGAUCCUGCUCGUCACAUCAGGGACAGUAGUCAAUACUUUUGUAUUUGGACACUGGGAAUCAAGGCAGAAGAUCUAACAGAAGAUACAAAAUAAUUAUAAUACAU
rnacentral:lncRNA from 1 species